CUUUCAUGUAAUUUAAGUCUUCUGCGUAUUUUCCCCUUUUGUGAGCAGGUACUGGUGGAGAAUGGAACAAAAGCUGGGCACAGCCUUCUCAUGGAGGCCAGGGAUCUGGUCCUUAAGGGAAAAGAGAAGUCACCUUUGGACCCUCGACCUGGUUUUGUCUUUGCCCCGGUGAGUAUUACUUCUACGUGUCCCACCACACAGAUCUGAACUUAGGCGUGGCCGGGAAAAGUCAGAUGGUAAAGCUAAGCCACUCUCCACUACUUUGUGUUCCUAUCCAGUUCCUACCUAAUGAUUCCCCUGGCUCUUCCUACCCACUGCUCCUGUCCUCCCUUCUCCCUGGCCCCUUUUGACUCUAUUAUUCUCAGUUUUUCAGUUUUGUGGCUGAUGGCUGUUUUGUCUUACCUCAUUUGUUUAUGUGUUUACAGUGUCCCCAUGAACUCCCUUGUCCCCAGCUGACCAACCUGGCCUGUAGCUUCUCACAGGCAUACCAUCCCAUCCCCUUCAGCUGGAACAAGAAACCAAAGGAAGAAAAGUUCUCUAUGGUGAUCCUUGCUCGGGGGUCUCCAGAGGAGGCUAAUCGCUGGCCCCGUAUCACUCAGCCUGUCCUUAAACGGCCUCGCCAUGUGCAUUGUCACUUGUGCUGUCCAGAUGGGCAUAUGCAGCAUGCUGUGAUCACAGCCCGCCGGCACGGCAGGUAUGGGGGAUGUGACCAAAAUUAGUGGGAUGUGGCAAGAACCCGCAGCCCACAUUAGCAUCUCGUUUCCAUAGGGAUUUGUAUCGUUGUGCCCGUGUCAGCUCCUGGGGAGAUCUUUUACCUGUGCUUACUCCAUCUGCGUUUCCUCCGUCUACUGCUCAAGAUCCCUCUGAGAGUUGACAAGGAUGUGUAACAAGUAUUUUCUUCUAUCGUGCCUGCCAGGGCUGAAGCUGCCUGGUAUCCAGGAGGGGAAUGCUGGUAUCCCCAUAUGUCUGUGUUUGUUUGAGAUUUUUAA
rnacentral:sRNA from 1 species